UACGUAGGGGGCAAGCGUUGUCCGGAAUCAUUGGGCGUAAAGCGCGUGUAGGCGGUCCGAUACGUUCGCUGUGAAAGUCGGGGGCUUAACCCUCGGAUGCCGGUGAAUACUGUCGGGCUUGAGUACGGAAGAGGCGAGUGGAAUUCCUGGUGUAGCGGUGAAAUGCGCAGAUAUCAGGAGGAACACCAAUUGCGAAGGCAGCUCGCUGGGACGUUACUGACGCUGAGACGCGAAAGCGUGGGGAGCAAACAGG
rnacentral:rRNA from 1 species